GUGCCGUGUCCCCACCGCAUCCCCGGCUGUCCCCGCGUGUCCCUGCCCAGCUGUCCUCGAUGUGUCCCCGCAGCCCGAGGCCAUUUCUGUGCCACAUCCCACUUGUCCCCGGCGUGUCCCGGCUGUCCCCAGGGUGUCCUUGCUGUCCCUGCUGCAUCCUGGCUGGCCCUGGACUGUCCUCAGUGCGUCUUGGCUGUCCCCAGAACGGCUCAGUGGGGUUGGGGACAUCUGGGGCUGUCACCCCCUGUCCCUGGGGUGACCCCAGAAGGGUUCAGCAGGGUUGGGGACACUCGGGGCUGUCAGCUCAUGUCCCUGGAUUGUCCCCAGUGUGUCCUGGCUGCCCCCAAAACAGCUCAGUGGGGCUGGGGACACUCGAGGCUGUCACCCCAUGUCCCUGCACUGUUCCUGGCGCAUCCUGGCUGUCCCUGCACUGUCUGCAGUGUGUCCUCGCUGUCCCCAGGGUGUUCUGGCUGCCCUCAGAAGGGUUGGGGACACUCGAGGCUGUCACCCCAUGUCCCUGGAUUGUCCCCAGUGUGUCCUGGCUGUCCCCAAAACAGCUCAGUGGGGUUGGGGACACCUGGGGCUGUCACCCCCUGUUCCUGGGCUGUCCCUGGUGCAUCCUGGCUGUCCCUGGGCUGUCCCCAGUGUGUCCUGGCUGUCCCCAGAACGGCUCAGCAGGCUUGGGGACACUCGGAGCUGUCACCCUACCCCAUCCUGGCUGCCCCUAGAAGAGCUUAGCGGGGUUGGGGACACUCGAGCCUGUCACCCCAUGUCCCUGCACUGUCCCUGGUGCAUCCUGGCUGGCCCUGGACUGUCCUCAGUGUGUCCUGGCUGUCCCCAGAACGGCUCAGUGGGGUUGGGGACAUCUGGGGCUGUCACCCCCUGUCCCUGGGCUGUCCCUGGUGCAUCCUGGCUGUCCCUGCACUGUCUGCAGUGUGUCCUCGCUGUCCCCAGGGUGUCCUGGCUGUCCCCAGAAGGGUUGGGGACACUCGAGGCUGUCACCCCAUGUCCCUGUGUUGUCCCCAGUGUGUCCUGGCUGUCCCCAGAACGGCUCAGAUGGGUUGGGGACACUCGGGGCUGUCACCCCCUGUCCCUGGGCUGUCCCUGGUGCAUCCUGGCUGUCCCUGGGCUGUCCCCAGUGUGUCCUGGCUG
rnacentral:lncRNA from 1 species